rnacentral:lncRNA from 1 species
CUAUGUCCUUAAGAAAAAAAAAAGUCAGUGCACUGUAAAAAUGUCUCCCUCUAGCACCACCAAACUUUUUCUCUCUAUACCUUUAUGACGUAAAUUUUGCUAUUUGAUUUUCAUCGGAGUGUUUCUUUUAAUAUGCAAAUUUAAGGCUAUUUAGCUGACAACUGCCUAGAGUUGUAAAACAGGCUAUCAAGUAUCUGAAAGUCUAAGAUAGAAGAAAAAAAGUGGGAGGGGUUCUUUAUGAAUCUAUAAAAUGUACUUCCAUUGGCAGGCCUAAUAAAUUUGUGUAUGUAUUUAUGUGUUGUGUACAGAAUGUUUCACUACUAAAAAUAUGUAAAAGAGUUCUAAUUAAUUGGCUUAAAGAAAAAUAAAAUCAGUAAAUUAGAUACUAAAAAAGACUAGUCAAAGGCAUCGUCAAGUUUAUGUAACUUAAGUAAAAUCUUUAAUAAGUAAGCUAGCUUUAAAAUUAUUGCUAAAGUAAUAUUACAAAUGUUUUAAGAAUUUCCAGCAUACAUUUCUGUUUGCAUUUAUUAAUCAAGCAAUUUCAUACUCAUCCCUGCCAAAUACUAUAAAGUCUCAAAAUUUGGCACAGGGGUUAGAAAACUAUGAACCCAGCCCAAAUCAAAAUGAUCUUUGCUUAUGUCAUUUUUAAUAAAUAAAACAUUGAUAUGGCUUUAAUGAAAAUAGCUGCAUCUUGAAUUUAGUAAGAUUACCAUAACUUCUAAUCCAUAACGUCUAAUAGACUGCUUUAGGCAGUCUAGUCCACAGACAAUAAUGAAAUUUGUUUUGGGAAAGGAAUGUUGUCACCUUUUGUUCAAAGCUAAAUAAUAAACUAAGUUCCUCCCAAAGUUAGUUCCGUCUAUGCCCAGGCGUGAACAAGGAUGGCUUGGAGGUUAUGAGCACGAUGGAGCCAGUUAUGUCAAAUCUUUUUUUCAUUGUCUUUGUUAUAAUUUUGCAAUGGUGAUUUCAGAACUUCAAAUUAUAACUAUCACAGUUUUCAUAAAUAAUCUAGGUAAAUAAUUAAAAUAAAAUAAUUAGGCAAAUAUAAUGGGAUAAAUACUUGUAGACAAACUGGUUAUAAUUUAGAAUAUAAAGUUACAUUAAAUUAAAUAAUAAUAUUCCAUUAUUUGGGUGUUUGGGUGUUUUCUAAUAAAUAUAUAUUGUAGGAAAACAUUCUUGCUAAAUAAAAGAAAAUGAAAAUGUAUGUUUUUUUUUCCAAAAAAAAAAAAAAAAAGGUGAACAAAUUUUGUCUGAUUAAAAGCUCAUUUAAGGGUUAUGUAUAAAACAAGGUAAAAGGAACCAGGAAAAAAAAUGCGAAGAAAGUUAUAAAAAUAAAGAGGUAUUUUUUUGAGGUAUAAAAGCUUAAAGAAAAAAUAAUUUUGUAUAAGAAAGAAUCUUGUAUGGUAAAUUUAGUCCUAAAAUAAAAUAAUGGUUGUUUAAAAAGGAUGGAUAUUCAGAACAAAUCAGAAAGCCCCACCGUGUCAUGAACAGUCAGUGUAAGUCACAAUAAGAGGAUUUAUACAUAUGUGAAAAAAACUUUUAUAAUUGUCCUAUUAUUAUUAAGUUUUGUUUUGCUUAGGAAAAAAAACUGAGAUUUUUUUUAAAGUUAAGGUUAUUACAUUUAUGCAUCUUCCUGUAUACGUUUUUAGAGUCUUUGUAACAUUGAGUUCCAGGGCUUUUGAUUCUUGGGUCUAAAAAGGACACCAAGUUCUGCUAAAUCUUAAACACUGAUAGCAAUUAAAUUCUCAUCUUCAGGCCCCCUAGAAGAUGCCAAUCAAAAUAAACUGCAUUCUUGAGACACAGGGCAAGAAAUUAAAGCUAUCCACCUCCUCAAGGCCCAGGGACUACGUGGAAGAGACAUCGAGUCAUGAAUAUGGAAUGACUUCACCUGACUUCACUUGAAAUUCACUUAAUUUUCAACUCUGUUGGCUAUGAGAAAAGGACAUCCAGGCCUCACACAAAAAUGGAUCAAUGAAUUGAAACUCACCAAAUCACCACCACCAGACAACGGGAUGCUGAGUCUCAUUCAUCAUGAUUGCUUCCUGAAGCCUUCUGAGUUCCUGUUUCCCUACACAUUGUUACAUUUCUUCCCUGCAACAUAAACCCCCAAUUUUAGUCCAUCAAGGUUAUAGAUUUGAGACUGAUCUCCCAUUUCCUUGGCUGCAACACCCAAUUAUAGCCUUCUUGGCAAUAAUUGUUGUCUCAGUGAUUGGCUUUCUUUGUGGCCAGCAGCAGGACCUAGACUGAACACCUGAUUUUCUGGUAACAGUAUAAUUUUUCUUCUUUUGUCUAUUGUGGUAGGUUACAUUGUUUGAUUUUUAAAUUAAACUGGCACUGCAUAGCUAGAGUAAAUGUGACUUUGUUGUGUUAAUUUUUAUAUGUUGUUGAAUUUGAUUUUCUUGUGUUAUGUUGAGAAUUUUACAUAUAUCUUUAUAAGAGAUAUUUGCUCGUAAUUAUCUUUUUGUAAAAUAUCUCUGUUUUUGCUAUGAAGGUUAUAAAAGUAAUUUUGGGAGUGCUCCCUAUUUUCUAUUAGAGAAUGAGGGAACUGGUACCAAUACUACCUUAAAUGUUCAAUAGAAUUCACAUUCGAAAUUAUCUAGGACUGGUUAUCUUUUGAGAAAAGUUGUUAAACAUUAUUCAGUGUCUUUAAUAGAUAUAGGCCUGUUCAGUUUAUCUAUUUCUCCCCAUGUGAUCAAUGGAAAUUUGUGUCUUUCACGUGAUUUUUCUAUUUCUUCUAAGUCAUCAACUUGUUGAUAUAAAGUUAUUCACAAUAUUCUUAUCCCUUCAAUGUUCAAAGAUUGUUAUUAAUAUUCAUGAAACUGGUAGUACUGAUCUUGCUUUCUUUUUUGAUAUUGUAUUGCACAUCUUUUCUCUUUUCAUGUUCAUUAAUUUGUGUGGAGGUUUAUCAAUUGUAUUCAUUUUAUUAAAGGACAAGUUUCUGGUUUUAUUAA